rnacentral:rRNA from 1 species
GAUGAACGCUGGCGGCGUGCUUAACACAUGCAAGUCGAACGGAAAGGCCCUGCUUUUGUGGGGUGCUCGAGUGGCGAACGGGUGAGUAACACGUGUGUAACCUGCCCUUGACUUUGGGAUAACUUCACGAAACUGGGGAUAAUACCGGAUAGGAGCUCCUGCUGCAUGGUGUGGGUUGGAGAGUUUCGGCGGUUGGGGAUGGACUCGCGGCUUCUCCGCUUGUUGGUGGGGUAGUGGCUUACCAGGGCUUUGACGGGUAGCCGGCCUGGGAGGGUGACCGGCGACAUUGGGACUGAGAUACGGCCCAGACGCCUACGGGAGGCAGCAGUGGGGAAUAUUGCACAAUGGGCGGAAGCCUGAUGCAGCAACGCCGCGUGCGGGAUGACGGCCUUCGGGUUGUAAACCGCUUUGGCCUGUGACGAAGCGUGAGUGACGGUAACGGGUAAAGAAGCACCGGCUAACUACGUG